GGUUAAGCGACUAAGCGUACACGGUGGAUGCCCUGGCAGUCAGAGGCGAUGAAGGACGUGCUAAUCUGCGAUAAGCGUCGGUAAGGUGAUAUGAACCGUUAUAACCGGCGAUUUCCGAAUGGGGAAACCCAGUGUGUUUCGACACACUAUCAUUAACUGAAUCCAUAGGUUAAUGAGGCGAACCGGGGGAACUGAAACAUCUAAGUACCCCGAGGAAAAGAAAUCAACCGAGAUUCCCCCAGUAGCGGCGAGCGAACGGGGAGCAGCCCAGAGCCUGAAUCAGUGUGUGUGUUAGUGGAAGCGUCUGGAAAGGCGCGCGAUACAGGGUGACAGCCCCGUACACAAAAAUGCACAUACUGUGAGCUCGAUGAGUAGGGCGGGACACGUGGUAUCCUGUCUGAAUAUGGGGGGACCAUCCUCCAAGGCUAAAUACUCCUGACUGACCGAUAGUGAACCAGUACCGUGAGGGAAAGGCGAAAAGAAC
rnacentral:rRNA from 1 species